rnacentral:rRNA from 1 species
GUGUCAGCAGCCGCGGUAAUACGAAUGGGGCAAGCGUUGUUCGGAUUUACUGGGCGUAAAGCGGGCGUAGGCGGCCGGCUAAGUCGGAUGUGAAAUCCCGGGGCUCAACUCCGGAACUGCAUUCGAUACUGGUCGGCUAGAGUUCGAGAGGGGGAUGCGGAAUUCCGCGUGUAGCAGUGAAAUGCGUAGAUAUGCGGAGGAACACCUGAGGCGAAGGCGGCAUCCUGGAUCGACACUGACGCUGAGGCCCGAAAGCGUGGGGAGCAAACAGGAUUAGAUACCCUGGUAGUCCACGCCCUAAACGAUGUCUACUAGCCGUUGCGGGUAUCGACCCCUGCAGUGGCGCAGCUAACGCGAUAAGUAGACCGCCUGGGGAGUACGGCCGCAAGGUUAAAACUUAAAUGAAUUGACGGGG